CCUACGGGGGGCUGCAGUGGGGAAUAUUGGACAAUGGGGGCAACCCUGAUCCAGCCAUGCCGCGUGUGUGAAGAAGGCCCUCGGGUUGUAAAGCACUUUCAGUGAGGAAGAACGCCUGGUGGUUAAUACCCAUCAGGAAAGACAUCACUCACAGAAGAAGCACCGGCUAACUCCGUGCCAGCAGCCGCGGUAAUACGGAGGGUGCGAGCGUUAAUCGGAAUUACUGGGCGUAAAGCGCGCGUAGGUGGCUUGAUAAGCCGGUUGUGAAAGCCCCGGGCUCAACCUGGGAACGGCAUCCGGAACUGUCAAGCUAGAGGGCAGGAGAGGAAGGUAGAAUUCCCGGUGUAGCGGUGAAAUGCGUAGAGAUCGGGAGGAAUACCAGUGGCGAAGGCGGCCUUCUGGACUGACACUGACACUGAGGUGCGAAAGCGUGGGUAGCAAACAGGAUUAGAUACACGAGUAGUC
rnacentral:rRNA from 1 species